CAGAGCACGUCACAAAUGGGACUGCCUUGUCCCCAGAACCGUAACUGCGGAGGUUCCCACCUUCUAUUUUCCCACCCUACCUCCCUGCCCCACUUCUGCGCCCUGGGUUCUGAAUUACCAGUCAGAUUCCCUCACUUCGCUGCUCGGAUCCCUUCAGCAUCCUUCCAUCUCACUAGGAAUAAAAUACAGAAUCUCGACCACACUUCGCAAGCCCUCGUCUGCUGUAUCCUUCCAGGCACACACUGGCUUCGUGGCAUCUCGGCUCUUCUCUCGUCUCCUGAAUCCUCUCCCUGUCACCUGUGGACCUGGCCGGGGCAGUUCCCUCGGGGGCCGUUUACCUGGGCUGUUUCUGCGCUCACGUACCCACAGGCCAAAGACAGAGUCUCAGGGCCCGGGACCCUCACCAUGUGGUUCGCUUUGGACAGAAAGAAAGGUGAAGCCACUAUGCACUGUGCUUUCCUUGACACACAAGCUGUGGGCAGAAAACAAAAUGGGUGUGAGUCGUAUUUAAUUAAGAAUGCAAACCCUGCAAUCUGACUGCCCAGCUUCCUACGCUGUCUUUGCCAUUUACCAGCUGUGCAACAGUGAGCUGCUUCAGUUUCCUCAGCUGCAGAGCAGGAGUAACAGUGCAGCUUCCAGAAGAGCAAAGGGAGAAUCAAAUGAGUUGAUCUGAAAACAUUCAGAACAGUGUCCCUUAUACGUGGAAGGGACACUUUCAUCUCACGUUCAGUAGGAAAGAAACAGCCACUAUUCAGACAGCAAAUAAAAAUCAUCCGAUC
rnacentral:lncRNA from 1 species